GCGUGCUCUGGGAGCUCCUUUUUCAUUUUUCUCUUUUAUUUCUGACUGCAGAACAACAAUUUUAACGAAGAUAUAUUAUUUUUAUAACGUACGUACGGCAAGUUUGUUUAUUCUUAAGCACCAAGCUACACAAUAGGCUAUCUGUUCUGGGCGCGCUUCGAGUACCGAAACACGGGUUUUAGCGGCACGAACCCUCAGACUUAUCGCUGAAUCAAUGGGGACAUACGGUGGAGUUUGUAAGUUGGAGACCUAGUUUCAAGUGACAUACGAUAGUGCAUCCUGAUCAUGGAGUUGAUGUUACCAUGAGAGGUAAGGGACAGUCUUUCGACUAAUGACAGUUUCCCCUUAACUGUAAGCGGACUGACCAAAAUGAACAUUAUUGGCAGCAAAGUGGACAAACUCGUGUGUCCAGACAUCGUAGAGGAUACUUUCGAAAUGGUCAAACUUUCCGAGAAACCUGUUGCAUCAGAGAAUCGUCUGUCACCGUGUCAUGCUACUCUUUCAGUUCCAAUUUGCGGUAAGUUCUCGUUCGUU